ACAUUUCCGGUUGUUUUUGUAGAUGAGCAAGGAAUUGUUAGAGCAGACGUUCCUUUUAGAAGACCAGAAUCCAAAUAUAGUGUUGAACAAGUAUGCGUAACGGUGGAGUUCUAUGGUGGAUGCAUAUUUUUAUUAUAUUUGUAUAAAAUUGAACAAUAUCUUUUACUUAAUUAUUUCAAAUUAAUAUUAAAAUAA
rnacentral:rRNA from 1 species